AUGCUCCAACGAGAGAAGUGGUUUAAUCUUCUUCCACCAGAUUCAUUAUCAAUUCGCUCUUCAUUUUCCACUCGUGGUGCUUACAGAAUCGUUUGUUUGAUGUUAAAUACGAAGACGAGUGAAUUGGUUGUUGUUAAGAAUAUAUCGAAUGCUUUUGAUAAUGGCGUGGAUGUGAAACGUACUCUAUGUGAUAUUAAGCUUCUUAAGCAUUUAGAUCAUGAAAAUAAAGAAGAAGUGGAAAUGGUUCAACAUGAAGAUUGA